CGAGAUCCUUUCUCACCACUGGGAAAAUCAAACGUUCUUUGGGUAAACGGAACUUUUUCGGCUUUUCAAUCGUCUGCAAACGAAUUUCGGAUAGAUACUUCCAGCUGAGGACUGCCAGUCAGUGUGUUACUGUAAAGUUUUGAUGUAUAUACGAAAUAAAAUGGUUUUUAAAGCGUAAAGUUCAAAAAUUACAUACUAGUUUUCGCAUUUUUGUGCGGGAAAUUCGUUCGAAUAAAAAUAAAAUAAUAAACAUC